AUGGCGAUGGCGCAGGGGCAGGGGGCGGCAACGUCGCUGCCGCCGGGGUUCCGGUUCCACCCGACGGACGAGGAGCUCAUCCUGCACUACCUCCGCAACCGCGCCGCCGCCGCGCCGUGCCCCGUCCCCAUCAUCGCCGACGUCGACAUCUACAAGUUCGAUCCAUGGGACCUCCCUUCCCAGGCGGUGUACGGCGACUGCGAGUGGUACUUCUUCAGCCCGCGGGACCGCAAGUACCCCAACGGCAUCCGCCCCAACCGCGCCGCCGGGUCCGGCUAUUGGAAGGCCACCGGCACCGACAAGCCCAUCCACGACGCCGCCACCGGCCAGGGCGUCGGCGUCAAGAAGGCGCUCGUCUUCUACAAGGGCCGCCCGCCCAAGGGCACCAAGACCGCCUGGAUCAUGCACGAGUACCGCCUCGCCGCCGACCCCCUCGCCGCCGCCGUCAACACCUACAAGCCCAUCAAGUUCCGCAACGUCUCCAUGAGGUUGGAUGACUGGGUGCUCUGCCGGAUCUACAAGAAGACCGGCCUGGCGUCGCCGAUGGUGCCGCCGCUGUCCGACUACGACCACAUGGCCGACCACGACGACCUCUCCGGCGGCGGCAGCACCUUCGACGACGCCGCCUGCAGCUUCUACGCGCACUCCAGCAGCAGCAGCAGCGCCUGCGGAACCAUGAUCACGCAGCAGCAGCCGCACGCCGGGAGGCUCCCCACGAUCCCGUCCUUCUCCGAGCUCUUCGACGACUACUCGCUCGCGCAGAUCCUCGACGCCGAGGCCGAGCACGGCGCCACCCACCACCUCGCCGUCCACCCCUCCCUGAACCAGCUCCUCCCCGUCGGCGACAGCGCGCACGGAGUGCAGCCGUCGUACUACGCGCCGUCGUCGUCAUCGCCGGACGGCAGCGGCGGGAGCGCGGGGAAACGCAAGGCGGCGAGCCCGGAAGAAUCAUCGGCCAAGAGGCUCAACGGGUCGUGCUUCGACGCGCCGCCGCAGUCGGCGACCGGCUGGCAGGCGGCGGCGUCGGUGCUGGGCGGCCUCAGCCAUCAGAUGCUUCCUCAGUUCUAA
rnacentral:rRNA from 1 species